rnacentral:rRNA from 1 species
GAGUUUGAUCAUGGCUCAGAUUGAACGCUGGCGGCAUGCCUUACACAUGCAAGUCGAACGGCAGCAUGAUCUAGCUUGCUAGAUUGAUGGCGAGUGGCGAACGGGUGAGUAAUACAUCGGAACGUGCCCUGUAGUGGGGGAUAACUAGUCGAAAGAUUAGCUAAUACCGCAUACGACCUGAGGGUGAAAGUGGGGGACCGCAAGGCCUCAUGCUAUAGGAGCGGCCGAUGUCUGAUUAGCUAGUUGGUGGGGUAAAGGCCCACCAAGGCGACGAUCAGUAGCUGGUCUGAGAGGACGAUCAGCCACACUGGGACUGAGACACGGCCCAGACUCCUACGGGAGGCAGCAGUGGGGAAUUUUGGACAAUGGGCGAAAGCCUGAUCCAGCAAUGCCGCGUGUGUGAAGGAGGCCUCGGUUGUAAG